UUACCCUCCCAGCAGAUUAAAUGAAUCGUUUUUAUUCUUUUCUUUUGAAAUUGAAAUUUUCUCCUUCUCCCAAUCCAACGACAGCCACCACCAUUACCACCUCCGCCGCUGCAAAUAGACUCAGAAACACCUCCACUAGUCUCACCACCAGUUCUAGCACAAUCUCAUGUAUUUCCACCAAGUCCACCACCACCACGUCCUGGACAAUCAAUUUAGAUCAACGAAUCUACGAGAAACUAAAUUCUCCAACCAAAUUUAAAGCUCAGAUCCAUUUCGUUUUCAAUUGGAUUUGUCUUGAAGAACGCAAAAUCGAUGAUAACAGUUAGUUAUUCAAGAUUUGCCCGCAUCGAUUUAAGAAGAGAAGAUGAAAAUCGUUAUCUUUUAUUGGAUCUGAAAAUUCACUUUUCCCAAACCAAUAAAAAUUAAUCACCAUCAGAUAAUCUCAACAAUAGUCACCAUCAACAGUAGACUCGAGAAACUUAGUGGUACAACUGUACAAGUAUUAAUUUCUUUACUUCUCAUUGUUGGAAAGGCAUGUGAACAGGGAGGAGGUAGAGAUCAACCUUACUGGCUUGAUUUGUGAAUGGAAAAUACUGUGUUUCUAAUUGGGUUGGGAUGUCAUUUAUCCUUGCAAUAUAUGUGUUCCAGUCCUCUCAAGACAAACUAGCAAGGGUUGAGGUGUAUUACACGUCAGAAGAUGCGUGUUCGAAUCACGUCGGGUUCACUAAUUUUAGUACAUCAAUUUUAUGGAUCAAAUUUGGUUGUUGACGCCAGAUUUGGGAUCAACUUUGGUUGUUGACCAGUUUACUGGGAUCAACUUCCAUUGUUGAUCGCAGUGAAUGGGAUCAACAUCCAUUGUUGACCCAAACAAGUUGAAGUAUUUUUUUCACUUAUUGUGUCAACAAAGGAAAUGGAUCAACUUUGGUUGUUGACACCAUCUUUUGGGAUCAAUUUUGGUCUUUGACACCAGAUUUUGGAUCAACUUCGGUUGUUGAUGCCAUAUUGUUUUGUUACGAGCUUUUGAUUUUUGUUUUUGGGGAUCAACUUCGGUUGUUGAUACCAGAUUUUGGGAUCAACUUCGGUUGUUGACGCCAUGUUAUUUUUACCUUUUUAUGAUUUUUUUGGUUUUUGUUCUGGAGAUCAACUACGGUUGUUGACACCGGAUUUUGGGAUAAACUUCGGUUGUUGACGCCAUAUUACCUUUUCAUGAUUUUUUUUAAUUUUUGUUUUAGGGAUCAACUUCAGUUGUUAACACCAGAUUCUGGGAUCAACUUUGGUUGUUGACAUUAUAUAAAUUUUUUUAUUUCUUAUUUUCUUAUUUCGUUUUUGGGGAUCAACUUAGAUCGUUGACGCCACUGGCGGACGCGGUGGUGGUGGCGGGCGGUGGU